rnacentral:lncRNA from 1 species
CAAAAUCCUGAUGUUUUCACUGCUGUUAGAAUCCGUUAGAAAAAUUUAAUUAACCAUAGAUUAAAUAUUUAAUACUGGUUAGUUAAUGAGGUGAAUUUACCUUUUUACCUCGCUUCAAUCAACAGUGGAGAUUUUUUAAGGAUCAUAUUUGCAAUGAAAUAAAGAUCAUUUCAUUUAUAAAAUAGACAGUGCUUUAACGGUAACAAACCAGAAGGACAUAUUUGAAAAUAUUAGGACUUUUAUAAGGACAAUAAAUAAAAGUUGAACUUUAUAGGAAUAUAUUUAUAAUUUACUAUAUUUAUAGAAACCUGUAUGAAAUUAAUUCUCUAAGAAAAUAUUUAUCCACAUUUUCAUAGUUUGCUCCUAUCUUAUAAUUAAAAGGUGUAAUGCUUUGUACUUGUAAUUUAAUUUUAUAUUUUAAACCAUUCAAGUUUAAUACUUUGUGGUUUGAAAUCAUCUCAAAAAAAAAGAGAAAAAACUAGUUAUUCUAAAAUCUCAGUGCUACUGUAAUAACUAGUUAGUUUUCAAUCACAACUCUUUUUCCAACCAUAUGAAAAUCAUGUUUUCGCUCACAAUUCUUUUUACAUCCGAUAUGGGUGUUACAGAAAUCAUGUUUUUAAUUACAAUUUCUUUUGUAUCCAAUAUCUCAACUGAUGUGGGAUUAUUAGAGUAUUACAUAUCCCCUCUAUCUAGACACUGGCGUUUUCGUUAUAUCCAAAUCCAAAUCUAAAAAGUUCAAAAAUAUUAAACGAUGUAAGAUUCUAAAGAUGGCUCUCACCAAAUCCUUCCAGUGACCCCUGUCAAACCUAUGGUAUAGUAUUUUGUCCGAUAUAUCACUUAUCUCUCACACUUCUAACUGGUAUUUGGUUCUGAUAUCAAAUAUAAUGAUCCGACCUACUAAUACUAAUAACUCCUUGAGUCCAAACCACCAACCCUAAAUGAUUAACUCCGGUUAUUAUUGUUAAAGCUUCGUGAUCUUUUUUUAUUUUCAAUCACAAUUCCUUUG